UUAGUCCACUCUUCCAGUUAACCCACCUCUUUCUAGGUUUUAUUUUUCUCUGCGCUAUAUUGAGCUUUCCCUCUGUUGCAUCAUCUUCCUCUUCAUCUGUUGGGUCCUUUUGCAAUUGAAUAGAGAAGAAAUUUUGUCGGUGGCAAAGCUAGUAAUAUUGUUAAGGGUCUUCAAAGAUCUCAGUAAAGUGAGUUAAGCACUUUAUAAGAUUUCUGAAACUUUUGCUCAAUUAGGUAAGUUUUCUACUUAAUAUCUUACUCUGUCUUGUGCUUUACUUUUCAACUUUUCUUUUUAGUUGUUUGUUUCUCCAAUUAAUGGGACUCUCUCUCUUUGUCAUUCGCUCUUUCUCUUUUGUGUAAUUGUAAUGUUUAAAUAUGCAAUAGUGAUAUACCCAUAUAUGUAUCUCUCAGAGAUUUCAUUGAAUUGUGCUAAGUUAUUUGAUUUGGUUACAUAUGCGUGUGAGAGGGUGGAUAGGAUAAG